CAACCGACCCACAACUGACCCACAACACCACACUCCUCGUUGUAGAGGAGCACGAGGUGAGGCGCACACUGUGGGCUGUCAACCCAAGGAAGGCUGCUGGACCUGAUGGCGUCCCUGGACGUGUCCUGAAAGACUGCGCCGAUCAGCUGGCUGGAGUCUUCACCAGGAUCUUCAACCAGUCCCUAGCCCUGUCUACAGUCCCAUCCUGCCUGAAAUCUUCCACCAUAGUCCCCAUACCCAAGAAACCUCACAUCUCUUGCCUCAACAACUACCGGCCAGUGGCACUAACCCCUGUGGUGACGAAGUGUUUUGAAAAACUGGUCCGGGGUCACAUCACAGCACUUCUCCCUCCUGGCUUUGACCCCCACCAGUUCGCCUACAGAGCCAACAGAUCCACAGAGGACGCUG